UUCUUACUACAUCCUCCAUCCAGACUUUCUCAGAUAUGUGCGUAACAGGUUUCUUAAGGCAAAACAAUUGAAAACAAAAAGAUGGUGGCUAGUCAGGCCAACUAAUGGAGCAUUUACUCUUCUGCUGGCUAUGCACACAUGUGACAUUGUGAGAGCCUAUGGUUUUAGCACAGCUGACUAUCAGAAAUAUCCAAACUACUACUAUGACAACAAACACACUAAACUAGUGUUUUAUGCUAAUCAUGAUUAUCGUUUGGAGAUGAGAACCUGGAAGAAAUUUCAUGAUGACAAAUUUAUCUGGAUGUAUUUGGGAAAAUCUGAUAUCUAAACACAAUCAGGGUUUCUUACAAGAAAAUCAUCAUCUUUGAAAUGACCCAAAACAUUACUAGACAAAAAUGUGGUUGAGUCAGUGUUUUUUUUUCACAAUCAGAAAGU